AUCGCUUCUUGGCCUUUUGGCUGAGAUCAAGUGUAGUAUCUGUUUUUUAAAAAAUAUUUCUUUAUUUUCCUUUUUGUUGCCCUUG
rfam:Erinaceus europaeus unplaced genomic scaffold scaffold00388, whole genome shotgun sequence